rnacentral:rRNA from 1 species
UACGUAGGGGGCGAGCGUUGUCCGGAGUACUGGGCGUAAAGCGCACGCAGGCGGUGCUGCGCGUUUGGGGUUACAGCUCCCGGCUCAACCGGGAGAGCGCCUCGAAGACGGCAGCACUUGAGGGCCAGAGAGGGACACGGAACGUCCGGGUGGGAGUGGUGAAAUGCGUAGAUAUCCGGAAAAACACCAAAGGCGAAGGCAGUGUCCUGGCUGGUACCUGACGCUCAGGUGCGAA